GCCAGGAAUCUGGCGUGGCUUCAGUCACGUGACGAGGAAACGUCACAAAUUGAAAUCCAGAUAACAGGAGGAAAAGUGGGGAUCGUGGGGGACCUUUGGCGAGCGACGGGCAGAGGCCGGAGCAGGGCUCCUGGGAGUCGCGAAGGAGAAGGGAAAGGCACGGAUGCAAGAUCGAGGUGGAGGAGAAACGGGAUUGCCCGGUGGGGAGGAAAAUCGGAGGUAGGAUUUCUACUCUUCAAUCCUUACUAGGAGUUUGUGGAUUGAGCGAGGCCCACCCCGGUUCCCAUCAUCUCAUUUUAGGAAAAAUGGAGGUUAUGUUGGAGGACAACACAGGUUUUUCUAACAUUACAAUAAAGCAGGAAGAAGAAGAAGAAGACAGGCCAGGGGACCAGGGAUCUGAUGGAAGUGUAAGCAUGGCUAGCAGCCACUCAGGUGAGAGAGUCAUUCACA